ACAUACGACCAUAGUCAAAGAAAUUUACAGGGUCUCGUUAGCUCCCCACACGUCAACUCUUUGAGCGGCUGCUUAGUAGUCAGGUGGGUGACCACUGGCGAAUCUCAGCUGUUGUAUGUU
rnacentral:rRNA from 1 species